rnacentral:rRNA from 1 species
CCUACGGGUGGCAGCAGUGGGGAAUAUUGCGCAAUGGGCGAAAGCCUGACGCAGCGACGCCGCGUGAGGGAUGAAGGUCUUCGGAUCGUAAACCUCUGUCAGCAGGGAAGAACGGUCACUGUGCUAAUCAGCAGUGAAUUGACGGUACCUGCAAAGGAAGCACCGGCUAACUCCGUGCCAGCAGCCGCGGUAAUACGGAGGGUGCGAGCGUUAAUCGGAAUUACUGGGCGGAAAGCGCUCGUAGGCGGUAUGUCAAGUCAAGGGUGAAAUCCCCGGGCUCAACGUGGGAACUGCCUUUGAAACUGGCAAGCUGGAGUGUGUGAGAGGAAAGGGGAAUGCGAGGGGUAGGAGUGAAAUGCGUAGAUAUCUGGCAGAACAUCGGUUGCGAAGGCGGCAAUCUGGCACAUAACUGACGCUGAGGAGCGAAAGCGUGGGUAGCGAACAGGAUUAGAUACCCUGGGAGUC